ensembl:rRNA 5S_rRNA 5S ribosomal RNA
CAUUGUGACCAAACCUCCUUGUCAAAGCCUGAUCUCAUCUGAUCUCGGAAGCUAAGCAAGUCUGGACCUGGUUAUUACUUGGAUGGGACACUGCUGGGAAUUCCAGGUGCCACAAUGG